rnacentral:rRNA from 1 species
UACGUAGGGGGCGAGCGUUGUUCGGAAUUAUUGGGCGUAAAGGGCGCGUAGGCGGUUUGACAAGUCUGAUGUGAAAUCUCUGGGCUCAACCCAGAGUCUGCAUUAGAAACUGUCGGGCUUGAGUAUGGGAGAGGUGAGUGGAAUUUCCGGUGUAGCGGUGAAAUGCGUAGAUAUCGGAAGGAACACCUGUGGCGAAAGCGGCUCACUGGACCAUAACUGACGCUGAGGCGCGAAAGCUAGGGGAGCAAACAGGG